UUUAUAAAGCCCAAUCCAUCUUUCAAACCCUAAAUAACUAUUGUUGAAAAGCAAGUUGAAAAACAAAUCACAAGCAGCUAGCUAGCAGCCGCCUCCCCUAGAUCUCUUCAUCUUCAAACUCCUUUCACGUAUCUUUUUCUUCUGCAUAUUUCUUUUUGUUUCUUCCUUCCUUUGUUCUCUUGCAUAUGGAUUUUAAGAAAACAUAAACAUCAAAAUGAAUUCCACUUCUUUUUCUUUCUCCCAAUCUUAGUAUUAGUUCUGCAAUUUUAUUUCUAAUUCAAUUUAGAUCUUAUAAUUUCAACAUAAAAUUUUCAAGUUCAACAAAAUGGAUAUUUCACCUUCUUAAUCUACAUAGAUUCUUGAUACAUAGUUGAAAAUGAACCAGAAAACUAAUAGGUUUUAACUUCUUUUAUUUCCAAGACAAGACAAGACAAGAUAAAAAAAAUUUUAAAAAAAAAACAAAAAACGCUCAGACCGGAAAACCUGUGUGAACCGCCGGUUUUCCGGUUCUUUCCGGUUUAAGAGCGGUUUCCCCGUUUUUUGUCCGGUUUAAUGAACUAGCGGUUUUGAGAGUCAACCGGACCGGACAUAGGUCCGGUUCACGGUUGAACCGGUCGAACUGCCCGGUACGGUCCGGUUUUGACAACCAUUUGAAAGUUAAUGGAAUAGUAUAGCUUGCAAGUAAAUGGAAUAGUAUAGCUUGCAAGUUUAGCUUUUCUUCCAAACAUUAUACACUGCUCCACGGCUCCCUCCCUGUAUCACACUUUAUUAUUAAAGGAAAAAUAAAUAAAUGAGAAGCAACAUUAUCUUAUGUCACAAUCCCACCUUACAAUUUUGUCAUCUUUCUUACUUAAACCCUAAUUUUUUGGCAUAAAUAAGAGUAAAGUUUCACAGCAAAGAGGAGGUUGAAAAGAGGCAGAACCGAAAGUCACAAGAGCAAAACAGAGCAACAAAAUGUAGAGAGAAGAGAUCAAACACCUCGCCACCUCCAUAUUUCACCCAUAACCUCUACAAAUCACCACCACCAUUUUCUAUCAAUAAAAAUCACCAUAACCUAUAACUAAAAAACCAGCAAAUGAAAACCAAAUAAACUGAUCAGAGAUGAAGAGAAGAGGAUAGACACAGCCACCGCCGUUUCUGGACUACCACCGCACAUCACCACCAUCUCCGGCCGGAACUUCCACCGUCGCAGCCCCACACCACUUCAACUCAACGGCCAGUCUUCUCUCUCUUACUCUUUCUCUGUAUCUCUAUCUUUAUUGGUUUAUCCUGAUUGAGAAACAACGUAACGCCUUGUUACUGGUUGCCGGUUGGUCAUAGCAGAAGAAACUCUAGAUGUGCAAAAGACAAUUAUCAUGAGCUGAAGUUGUUGUCUAGAAGACGGAACUUUUUUUUUUUUGAACAAGACGGGGAACUGAUGUUGUUGGAUGAAGGAGAGACUCACUCUCUGUUGGUUAUUCCCCACCACUUCAAUUUUUAUUUUGUUUUGAGGCUAUUCCCCUUUUGAAGCAUAGAGUAUCAAGCUAACCAGGCGAGCCCAACCAGCGAGGAAUGCACUGUCGCUUGGGGUAUGUACCAAAACCCUCAUUUCUUGUUCCUUGAUGUUGUCAUCAAUAUUUUGGUGAUUGUGUGUGAGAUACCUUUUAGAAUGUUUUGUUUUCUUGUGUCAUCUCUUUUAGGGUUCAAGCUACAUUGGUUCGUAGAAAUAUUAUGAAUUUUUUAUGAAACUUUUGUUAAGAGUGUUUCAACCAUUUGAGCUGCAAGGAAGUGUCUAGGUAGUUUUUCAUUUUUAAAUUAGGUCUAAAUGUUGGUACAAAGUGUAAAGCGACUAAGUGCAUGAAGAUUCAUCAUCUCAUGUUAGGGGGGUCUGAAUUCUAUUAUUCAAUAAUUAAAUCAGCAUGAUAGAGUAUUACAUAGUCAAAUAUAUACCAUAUACCAGGAAUUCUACCGCUACUUUAGGGAUAAAGAAUUCUGCCAUGCAGAUAGCUUGCGGCUACCCGAAUGAAAUUGGGUGAGGAGAGUUCAUGGAGAUAGAGUUGAUUUCUGUGACUUCAGUAAUCAGUACCAGAUCACACCAUCAUAAGCGACCCUUUUUGGUAGUUAUAUUAAAUUGGUUCUGGGGGUUACAGCCGCCCCCUCGUUAUUGGCAGUUAUGGGCGGCGCACGGUUUUUCCUUUAUUGCUAGGUUAGGUCCAGGUUGAACUUCCCUCCUCUAUACCGGGUUUGGGAUUGCCAAACUCAGAGGGUACAACUGUUUUUUUCUCUCUGGUACUUUUAGCUUUUGAGGGAGACAGAGAUGGCCUGAUCCCUUUCUUUCUUUGUGGAGAAUUAAAGCAAGCCGUACUUUUGAGGAUUCAAAUGAUGGUUAGUUCGAGUUAACCCUUCAGGGUCCUUUUAACCGUAUAAGAAAAAAGAAAAAACAGGAGCAGUGUAAGGAUCAGGGCUAGCUCUGAGGGAUCUAGUCCAAUCCAAUCUCUAAACAUCUGUCUUAUAUGUGACAAUCUCGUGUUAUGAGUUAACGUAGUCCCCUAUUCGGGGUAACAUUAAAUCAGUUCUGCUGCGUUGAAUUUGGGAAAGUUCAUACUUUUGGUAGUAUAUCCUUACAUAGUUGCCAGAAGGAUGGAGGGCAUAGAAGAAUUCCCGAGGGCCGAGACUAAGGCAUCCGACUUUCCUCCCAUGAGAUAUCUAGCGCUUCACUGGUAUUUAGAGGUCUCUACUCUAUAGCCAGAGUAUAUAGUAAGGAGCAAAGUUUCAAGGGAUUCAAAAGGAAAGACUAAAGUACAGUUUAGUUCAUCAAAUUAAUCCUACAAGGCUACAACCUUGACUUUUACUUUUAUGGUACAUAAUAGCCAAUGUGUAUAGAAAAUAAUGCGGUAUUUGUGUCAAAACCAUUGUCAGCGUUGAGAUGGAAUCCCACAUCAGCUAGAGAAAUAGUCAAAGUAGAGCGGAUGAAGGUUUGGACAAUUGUCACCUCUUGAACUGGGUUUUUUGACUGUUGAGUUAGAGUUAGGUCCAGUUCUAGAUUUUAAGAUGUACCAAAUCCUAUCCUAGUUCUGAUAUUGGGCCACCCACUGUUGUCUCCAAAAAAAAAAAAAAAAAACAAACUAGUGGUUUA